AUUAUACAACUCAAUGAGUUCUGGAUACUCCUUGUAGCAGUUGACGAACUUCUCCAGAAAUUGUUUCUCUGGAUAUUUCAUGUAUGAAAAUAUACUAAGGUUACUGAUGCAAACUCCCCUAGACUUCAGACCUGUCACAAUCCGAUGCCUUGGCAUCAACCUUUUCUCCAAACUCAACAACAAUAAAUCUGGCCGAAAUGCAAGAUAAGAUGGAGUACAUCCGGCUUCAUUUACCAAGAACUCCAUCUUCCUCUGCAAACUCUUUAAAGAAAAUCGCACAAACGUAGGAGCCUUUCUGAAUGCAGCAAGGAAAUCAUCCUCGGACCACCCGAAGCCCUUGAAGAACUCCAAGUGAGCCUUGAAGUUAUUCUCGGAGACGCUCUGGAGCACACUCAGGAUCACGAGGAACAUCCCCGAGGUGCGAGGUACUCCCAAAACCUCGACACGGCUGAUUAACGCCUUCAGGGUUUCAGCAUUCCGGGUUAUGAGGAGGGGAUAUUGCCGUAGGAUCAUUGAGAGCUUCUGAUCCGUCAUCCCGCAAUCCCUUAGAAUUUCAAUGUUAGGCUGGAUCGUCUUCUCGAUGCUAUACCCGAGUAACCACCUGUUUCUCUUCCAUAUCUUCAUCAGUAAGUCGUUGGACCCGAGGAGGCCUUGCCAUAAUUGGAUCUUCGACAAGAUGGUCUGGGAAUUGUCGCUGAUGACGUCGUUANNNNNNNNNNNNNNNNNNNNNNNNNNNNNNNNNNNNNNNNNNNNNNNNNNNNNNNNNNNNNNNNNNNNNNNNNNNNNNNNNNNNNNNNNNNNNNNNNNNNNNNNNNNNNNNNNNNNNNNNNNNNNNNNNNNNNNNNNNNNNNNNNNNNNNNNNNNNNNNNNNNNNNNNNNNNNNNNNNNNNNNNNNNNNNNNNNNNNNNNNNNNNNNNNNNNNNNNNNNNNNNNNNNNNNNNNNNNNNNNNNNNNNNNNNNNNNNNNNNNNNNNNNNNNNNNNNNNNNNNNNNNNNNNNNNNNNNNNNNNNNNNNNNNNNNNNNNNNNCGGCGGAAUAAGAAUGGGUUGCGAGAAAAAGGGCAGCAUCGGCCGGACGACAGCAAGGGACGAAGGCAAGGGCUUUGGACAAGAGAGAGACGUAGGGCGACCUAUUCAUCAAUGUCAUCGUCUUCUUCUUCUUCUUCUUCUUCUUCUUUGUAGGUUCCUUCUCUUUACCAAAACCUAGCGAAGGUGGCGUAGCUGCGUAUAGAGGAGCGCGUUUAGGCCGGAAGUACCUGCGUCUUAAACCCUAGAAGUGCGUUACCGUGUUCGACAUUUUUUUUUCGGGCGGAGAUUACUGCGACCGCAGGCAUCUUUUUUUUCUUCGUCAACUUUUAGUUUGUUGAGGGGAGAAAAAACUUUUAUUGCGUGCCAACUAAAGAUAAUAAAAGGUGUUCUUUUAGAAAAAAGUUGCACUAUUAUUUUUUUAUCUUGGGUGUAUUUUUUAUAGUUAGAACAAAAAUAUACCCUUAAUCUUCUAUUAAAAAUGACUUGAUCAGCUAUUAAAAAAUUGAUAAUUAAUUAUCAAACAAAUUUUAAAAAAUAUAAAAAGCUAUACUAAUCAUUUUAAAAUCAAUAGAUAUGUAUCGAAGAUGAUUAAUAUCUAUUUUUUAUUUUAAAAACUUUAUAAUUAAUUAUCAAAUUAUAAUUUAUUUAAAUAAUAUAUAUGAUUAAGUCACAUAAGUUAAAAAUAUAAGAGUGUUUUUUGUCUAUAUAAAAAAUACCUAAGUAAAAAUGAAUAUGGAGGAUUUCAUCGAUAAAAAAAACUAAUACUAAAAAUUAUUUUUUUUAUAAAAGACCCAACAUAAAUGAAUGAAUGUUAUAAAAUAACUUAUUCGUCAUAAAAUUUGAUGGAUUAAUACAUAUGCUACUCUAAUUAUCAAGUUAAAGUUAAUAAUAAAAAAUUCAUGUAAUCUUUAAUGUCAUCGUAACCAUCAACUAUUUAUGAUGUGAAUGGAAAACCUACUCAUUAUUCACUUAAAAAUCUAUUCAAUAGAUUUUCACCGUAUAGGGAACCAAUAGAGACUCACAAACACGUCGACUAUCUUGCUACUGAGAAUUAAUACAAACAUAUGCUAACUAUGAAACAAAGCCCAAGGCAACUUCUAUCUAGAAAUUAAUAAUCAUUAGAUGAUCAUAUUCAUACUAAAAAUAGAAAGUCAUUCAUCUCAUUAAGAAGGUGCACCUUGAUAAUUACUUUUGAUUUAGAAUCGAUUAUAUUUGAUUUAACAUAUUGACAAGCAUUGUAAUUGUUAUGAAUAUCCUUCUACGGAAUCAAAUAGUUUGCAUAAUAUAUCUCACAUUUAUAAAGGCUUCUUCUCAUAUUUAUUAUUUUUCAAUAUCGAAGAAUUAUUCUGUCAGCUUAAGGGAUUUAUACUUGAUCUAGCAGGCUCUUUAUGCAAAGUAACUCAAAAUCUCUUUUCAAUUUGUAUCUCAAAAUUGUUAUAAUACCUGACUGUUUUUAAUGGUUCUUUAUAAUUGAAUAAGAUAUAUAAUAAAAUUAAUUAGAUUUUGAUAACGGAUAUUAGUUAAUAGAAAGAAGUAUCAAAAUAGGGCCAAGUGGGAAAAUAUCUUAUUAAUUAAUGAGUUAAGUGAGAGAAUAUCAAAAUAUAUGACCCUUUAUAAUUAAAUAAGAUAUCUAAUAAAACCGAUUGAAUUCUGAUAACGGAUAUUAGCUAAUAGAAAGGAAGUUGAUAUUAUAAUAUGAUUCCUUAUGGUACGCACUUGAUGAGAGGACUCUCAUAAUUACUUAUCAUAUACCCUCUAAUCUCGCAUAUAAAUAGAUAGAACCUCCUAGGUCUAAUGACAUGAUGUUUAUGUGACGUGAUGAUCGUGGACACAUACAUAAGAUACGAUAGGUGACAUUGAGAGAUUACGGUUCCUUUCUCAUCAUCUCUUAUCACUGAACUAUCAAUAACUAUAGUCUUGUGAAAAUGUAGACAGAGAUGGGAAGUGUUUAGUUCUCUUUGUAGAUCAAUAUUUGAUAUAGAUGUUUUUGCUCCACACAAACUCAUCUGCCACUAAGGCCAACAAGAGAGUUCCAGGUCACCAGCUCCAAAAUGGCACCAUAGUACAUUCUGAUAACCAUCCUACUUUAUUAAGAUCAAAGAAUGAUCAGGUGAUUCAACUAAUCUUAUCCAAGGCUAGCUAAUAAAAGGCCUAGGGAUUAAGUAUAAAAAAGAAACUCAUUAACUCAAGCUAAGAGGGGGGACUUUCUACGUACUAACCUAGUUAUACAACUUACACCACUAUCUUUUCCCUUUCGCUGACUUAAGCAUCGGAAGGGAUGCGUUGGGCAACUCCCAAUACUGGCCUAUCAUGCAAGAUUGCUAAUGGCCAAGAGACGACAUCACUCUUAGGAUGCAGCCAUGCAACCACGAGACAAUCCUUCAUUCGAGGACACAUGGAUGACCCAACCCCAGGGAAGAACGUCGCAACCAAGAAGACUCCAAACCCCCUACCCGAUCAUCCCGAAUCGGGUCCUCACCAAUAGAACGAUGUCUGAUCGGACCGCCUAUGUUGUCUCACUCAUCGGGUCACCCACAUCAGUCAAGAAAAGGCACCUGGGUAAACUUGCACCUUCGAUAGUGGAUCAACCGUGUUGAGUUAUUAGUCGAUGGUACUCAUGACACCAUCAAUAUCCUUAUAAUAUUUGAAUAUGAGGAUGGUGAUCCUACAUAGAUAGAGAAUUUUUUAGAUGACUUUGAAAGGUGUGUAAUAAAAUCUAAUAUAUCUUAUUUGAUUUCAAUCCCGAUAUUAAAAUUAAUAUAUAGCAUAUAAUAUAUUUUAUGCUUGGAACUUGCUAUGUGUCCUCUUUCCCUCUUCUUUCUACCCUUUACAUCUCUCUACAAUAAUCAUUAUUACAAUCCAAAAGCUAACCGUAAAUUAAGCAAAAGAGGUAAAUGGAACAAAAAACCACUUUUGGGACCCUGCCCUGUUUCUAUGUUGUCCCAAAAAGCCAAGUACCUAAAAAGCUUUUUCUUUGUCUCUAGAAUAGCUAAACAUGGCCAAAUUAAGUUGAGAUUUUGGCAGCAGAGAAGAGCGGAACAUAACUAAAACUUGUGCAAAACCAAGUGAAGAAUUGGUAAAUGAGUGCUUAUAUUUUACCUUGAUUUAAAGUAUCGAUGCUGAACCCACAUCUUGCCAAUGAAGUAUAAUGAAUUCAACCUCAAUCGUAAAGUAAGAACAGGAGGUAAAAGAAUGAACGCCAACCAUGGCCAUUUGCAAAGGAGAUGAUCAAACGAAUCCUUGCGUGCUAGGAGAUUGGAGGUGGGUUAAGCCAACACCAUCAUCCACAUACCCAAUAAUUACGCUCAGGUUAGAUAAGAUUCCAUGAGAAACUCACAUGCCUCAUUACGGUUAACUUGUUAGAUUUACCACUUCGUUUGGAUCAGAAGAUAAAUCCAUCCAGUAGAUAACAAGGAUUUGAAGCCCUUGCUCUGUGUAUGUAAUCUCUAGUGUGUUGUCAGAUCUAAGUCGAGGAAGAUAAAAGACACGAGAUGUAUGAGUUGAUAUAUCAUAUGCUUAAGAAAGUUCAAAAUAAUUUCUCAUGAUUUUCCAUUAGAUUAUUGUGGAAUUCCAAGUCGUAGACAAAGCAUGUACCUUUUGGAGUUCUUCGUACGUACACAAUAUCUUGUGACAGACAUCUUUAUUAAGAUCUUUGGUUAUUUGCAGACAAAAGAUAAGUACUGCACAGACGAAGGAUCAUAAGCACACUUCGUUAACCCAAGAAACCUGACUGAUUUGUACUCAUGUAAAGACUGAUCAUAAAGUAAGCAUUCUAAACCGUGCACUGAGAUGGAGCAUUGUGGUGAUGAGAUUAAACUGACUAACCCAGAAUUAAAAAGUAAAGAUUUAAUUUCUACAAUGAAAAUGAUGGAAGAGGUGCUAAUAACUUGUGAAAUGUGUAUGCUUUGAUAUGCAUUUGAUGGAGUUGUGUGCAUGCAUCAAAACCAAAUUUCAGUUGUCAGAUAUCAUUACUGAUUUGUUGGUAAUUAGUUCCACAAAUUGUUAUACCAGCUUGGGAAAAGAAUCUGUACAUGUCAUAACAUGUUAGAACAAUAAACACCAUGAUCUUAUAAAAGAAAAGUACUCGUUCUUUAAUCCUAUGUGGAAGGUCUCAUAAAAAACUUGAACAAUUUUAUGAAAAAACUUCACAUUUUAUUUUUUUAAAAAAAAUUGUAAAUAUUUUUCCCUUUUUUUUUUUCCGAACAUGAGCAUAUUGAUCCAAAAUGGUGCACUAAUCUAAAUAGAUAGAUUUGAUCAUUUAAGGCUGGGAGUCCAUUUAGAUGAUUUAUAAUAUUUAUAAAUAGAUUUUAUAGUAUUUUUGUUGUGAUGAUCGAAACAUUAUAAAAGGUUAAACAUUAUAGGCUUGUAAUUAGUUUGAUUGAGGUUUAGUUUAUUUAUGGUAUGCUUUACAAUAUUUUUCAUGGCUAAUAAAAACAUUAUAAUAAACUAAUUUUUUACUCCUAUUUGGAUGAUAUUAUUAUUAAAUUAUUAUAAAUACAUAGUAUGAUAUAUCAAAUUAUUUCUAGUGUGUUUGGAUUUCUCAGUUAUAGUAUUUUUAAAUAACGUUAUAGUGUUUUUGUAAGGUGUAAAGCCAUUGAAAAAUAGUAUUUUUCAAUUGUUCAUCUUUGAUUAUCAUUGAUCGUAGAUCAUUACAGCCUAUAGUUGGUUUGACCGAGUCCAUUUGGGUCAUUUAUAAUAUUUUUAUUAUUAUGAUCAAAAUACUAUAAAAAUUAAUUUUUGAUCCUCAGUAAUGAUCAUGCUACUGUACAAAACCAAUCAAUCAACUUGGAUUCACACACCUAUAGAUCGGUCUAAAAGGUAUCCAUGAAAUUAGCGGGAAAAAUAUCAUUGAGACCGGUAAGAGAUACUUUCGGUAUUAUUCAAAAUAGAAGGGAGAAACAUGAGACAUAAUUUAGAAUAAUAAUAAUAAUAAUAAUAAUAAUAAUAAUAAUAAUAAUAAUAAUAAUAAUAAUAAUAAUAAUAAUAAUAAUAAUAAUAAAAGAGAGCUUUUGCUGACAAACAAAUUCCUUGAUUUGUGCGCUGUAGUUGUAGGGUCAUUUAGACUUUGCAGCAUCAGAGAGUUCCCCUCUUCCCAACUCCUGUUUACUUAACAAUGAGCAUGAAUAUACGCCUACGACCAAAAAUUCCAUUUGGCGCCCGCAAAAUAUGGCUGCAGAAACUAAAUCCGGUGAAGAAAUGAAUGCCAUUUGCCCUUCACUUGCAUCUCAUAGGAGCAAAAGAAGGGGAAAAGAAUCUGGGCAUAAAAUCUAGUUAGCUAGAGUUUGGAUGCUUUCAUCUCAAGAAAUCUCUCUUUUUAUAUUUUCUUAAAGUUCAGUAGAUUCAAUGUAGAAGGCAUUGCAAUUUUCUACCUGUUUCUUCCUUUCUAUCUUUUCUUUUGGAAAAACAAAAGGAUGGCCAGAAUAUGCACAUUUUGGUUAUAUAUUCUCAACAAUGAUGAGAAUAAGAACAAUGAUAUGACUGCAGACAGGACCAAUAUCUAUGUUUUCAGAAAAUACAACCGAUAAGUCGUCAAAUGAACAGCAGUGCUGUGUGCAUUAGUCUUUAUAAAGUAUAAAUUCCACAUCAUACUUCACUUGAUCUCCAUCAAUAUGGUGGAAACAAAUUUAAAAGAAAGUUCAGUUUGAUAUGAUGUAAAACAAGAUAUCUCAUUCUUUGUUUGAUCUAAUUACAAAAAGUUAUGCUCAGAUCUAUAUCAUUUCUUAGUCUAGAGUAUAUUUGAACACACAACAAUAACAUUAAUUGCAAGCCAUAAUGAGCAGAUGUUGCCAAUCAGAAAUCUUAAAUUCGGGAAGCAGGGAUGAUACCGCAUUACCAACAAAACCUGAUAAUAACGAUUAAAAAUAAAUUGAUCUUGUUUAGCAAGCAAUUUUAGAGGGCAUAAAAUCCUAGAACAUAUAUAGUUCUACAAGUUGAAAGGAUCUCAGUCCUUUUAGAGACAAAAUCCCCCACAAAAAGUAUCAAGCCUUGCAAACAGCAUCAGUCUUUUCCUACUGAAAGAACCUGACCCUAUCCAGCAGCUAGUUCUGAGGCAGUACAGUACAUGUAUAAUUCUUCGCUGAUAACGACUCAAGCCUUUGUUAGGAAAACAUCUCUACGAUGAUCAACAUGCGAUAGGGUGCAAGUCAUCUAAAACUUCUCUUGAUCCCGAUAACUCAACAGGAGUAAGCAGUGCUUCAGUUUAAUUUAACCAAGUACCUACCUGCCAGAGACACUGCUGUUAAUUCUCCAAGGCCAAUAAUGUAUGAAUACCUAAGAAAAAGCACAAUGCAAAAGAUUGGAACUAGGACACAUACAACAUUUACUGGAGAUUAGCAUGCUACAAUACCUCAGGGAAGUUAUAUUGACGUAUUUGUCCAGAGACAACAAAACAACAAAGUCUUAAGAAAAGGAACACACCAAAAUAUUAAAAAUCGGACGAAUGGCUGAGACUAUCAUGCUAUACUACAACAGAAUAGCAUAUAUAAGAAUCUGGAGAACCAAGGGCUGGAAUCAAAUUUGAGAUUACAUGUUGCCAUUAGGCAAUAUAUUUAGAGAUGCCCUAUUGUCACAUUGAAGCACAAGUUUGUAACAUAAAAACAACCUGCAUAAUUUGACAUAUUAACUAGACUUCCAGAUCACAUUUUUGUUUGAUAGCUAUUACAGCUUUGACAAAAAUAAGACACCGAACAAAGGAUGCAAAAGAAACAUAUAGUAGCAAAAGCCAAAAAUGUUGAAAUGUGGAUUUUCAUAGUACAUAAACCAGUAUAACUACAUAUCAUAAAUAUAACCAAAGAUUCUAACGGUUAGAAAUAUCUUGACUUCAGUCUGACUGUGGGUAAAAUACAUUUCAGGAAGGCUGAAAUUGGUGUCAUCUGACAGCGGACAAAAUACAUUUUGGGAAGGGGGAAAUUGGCCUACAAGAAGUCAGCAAGUCUCAUUUCUCUUUCAUUACCUGAAGGCUGGCAAUGGUUGAAUUCUCCCUAGCAAAGUAACUCCUAGAAUUAUAUUUCCUUUUCCAAUUUGUUCAACAUAUCCUUACUAAUGUAAUCAAACUAGCACACUGCAGAUGCCAACCUCUGGAAGGUAACACAUACUAAAAGAGCAAUUUCCAAGAACCUUGUUAAUCCACUUCUUUUGCACCAAACACUCUGCAAAUGGAGCUAACACCCCAAGUAUUUUUUAUUGAUAAGAACAAUUUAUGAUCGAUACAAGACAACCUCUGGACAGUAACACCUACUAAAAUAUCAAUUUCCUAGAUCACUGCUAAUCCGCUUCUUUUGCACCAAACACCCUGCAUAUGGAGCUAACAAUCAAGUACUUUUGAUUGAUAAGAACAUUUUAUGCACUGAACACUCAAUAUGACCCAACCCAAAAAAUGAGAGGAUCGCACCCUCCGGAAAUUUAUGAUCCCGACAUCUGUAACGCACAGAGCACAAUAAUAAUAUUCAUUGACAAUAACUGAAAAUACAUCCCAUCAAGUGUCAUCAUUAUUACUGGAGUAAACAUCUAACUAUACUUUUAUUAAAUAUCAUAUAACAAUCUUCACCUUGCUAGAAUCGAACACUUCUCAAUCCAUAGUUCCCCAGCUACGGAUCAUCUGAAAUAUGUAAUUUUCAGAUCGAUAGGGAUUAUCUUAGUAGAAACAAGAUGUCAAGAAAUCUAGUUGUCUCAUGCAAUCAGCAAAAGAUAAGAAUAAUAAUGAAAAAAGAGUAUAACUUAGAAUAAAAGAUCUCACAAAUUCAUCAUGAGAAAAGCACAUCCAUUAGUGCACUUUGCUGCAUCGGAACUCGUCCGACUGCUCAGGAUGAAGCAACCUCCUUAUAGACUAAAUUCAUAUCACAUUCCCUGCUAUUAGUCCAUUACUAGGAUCAAGUGGUGCCCGGCAACAGUAGAAAUACGUCUUUCUAUGGAUGCAAGGAAUAUCUUAUAAGCUUCUAUGACGACUACUAAUCCCUUUCAAAAUUGCCUACUAAUCAUGACAAUGUUGUUCAAUCAUCCAUAUAUGUAUAUAUCAACAUGCUGCACAACCAUGCAACAACAUCCUUUCACAUGCUCAAGCGUCCAACUUAUGCAUCAUGGCACUUCUAACAAAUAUUAAUUAUAGGCUACAAUAGAGGCAUCAAUAUAAAAUUGAUUGCCAAAAGAAAUAUGAUCUAAUAACAGCAUAUUAAAAUUUCAUCAUGUCAGCAUAAAGAGAAUCUAGGUUUUAUGAGGCACCUAACACUAUAUUGAUCAUCCAAAUUGGAUACAGAGUCCAAAAAAGUUAUUAUUGAUUUACAAUUCAGUCCUCAAAAUUUACAAUCAUUUCUUCAAUACAUUGCAAACCAGUCCCUAGCAGUCUUAAUGGGCAGGACCUUAGGCAGCCACGUGGAACUUGGUCUCACAGGCAGGACCACAUGGAGUUGGCCUGUCUGAGCUGAAGUGCAUGAAGUUUAGACCACCCCCGUACUCAAAUGCUUAAAUUGGUAAAGGACAACUUGUACAUUCCAGUGCUUAAAUUGAGAACAAAACAUUGGCAAUACGGAAAGUGUGGUUUCCUUCAUAAAUCUAAGAGUUUCAACUUCAUUCUCAAGAAGACGGUCAGCUUCAAACUAUCAUGGUGGAAACCUGGUAUUCAUUAAGGUUUUGCAUUUAUAAAGAGAGAAAUUUCAACUGAAUUGACCGAUCAGCAAGAAGAAAGAAGUGGUUCAAACUAAUCACUUAAGAAAGAGAACAAAAUUUGAUAAACAAAAUAUACAAAAAAUUGAAACCCAACCUCAUUUCCCUUUUUUGGGUUUCGGGUUUGGUUUUGGAAUGGAGGGACUUUAGUAAAUUUAUAUAAAAGGUGACCAACCCUUGCCCUAAAUCAAAAGCCUCAUCAUCCAGCUCAAAAUCACCAAAGCAUCCAACCAUACCAUCCAAAAGAAUCCUACUUCUUAUCAUUUGAAAAAAUUAACCAAAACUCGAAACCUAAAUUACCAAAUAUCCGAAGUCAAAUCAAUUCAAAACUUCAGGUGUCCAAUAACCUACAUAAGUCUGAUAUCUUCCAGUAGACUUAAAACAAAUAGGACAAGAAUAACAAUUCUAUGUGGCGUCUACACAAGUGAUUAUAAACAAGCAAUUAACUCUAUCGGCAAUUUCAUCACAAAUCUUCUCAACAUUCUUCAUUUUCUUACUACGUGUAAGCAUCCAAACUCAUAUUACAUUCACAGAAACGAAGUAAAUGGCAGGAAUUAUUUGGUCGCAAACUGUAGAUCAUGUUAUGCGGAUAGUGGAAAAUUGGAACCUGGAAACAUAACUUGCUGGUACAAAAGCUUGUGCUAUGCAUUAUGCAUUUCCACGAUCAAAUGCAGUGAUGUUUUUGGGGACUCCAUUAUACAACUCAAUGAGUUCUGGAUACUCCUUGUAGCGGUUGACGAACUUCUCCACAAAUUUCUUCUCUGAAUAUUUCACGUAUGUAGACAUACUAAGGUUACUGAUGCAAACUCCCCUAGACUUCAGGCCUGUCACAAUCUGAUGCCUUGGCAUCAACCUUUUCUCCAAACUGCACAACAAAAUAUCUGGCCGAAGUGCAAUAUGAGAUGGAGCACAUCCGGCUUCAUUUACCAAGAACUCCAACUUCCUCUGCAAACUCUUUAAAGAAAUUUGCACAAACGUAGGAGCCUUUCUGAAUGCAGCAAGGAAAUCAUCCUCGGACCACCCGAAGCCCUCGAAGAACUCCAAGUGAGCCUUGAAGUUAUUCUCGGAGACGUUGUGGAGCACAGUCAGGGUCAAGGGGAACAUCCCUGAGGUGCAAGCUACUCCCAAACCCUCGGCACGACUGAUUAACGCCUUCAGGGUUUCAGCAUUCCGGGUUAUGAGGAGAGGAUAUUGCCUUAGGAUCAUUGAGAGCUUCUGAUCCGUCAUCCCGCAAUCCCUUAGAAUUUCAAUGUUAGGCUGGAUCGUCUUCUCGAUGCUAUACCCGAGAAACCUCCUGUUUUUCUUGCACAAGUUCAUCAGUAAGUCGUUGGACCCGAGGAGGCCUUGCCAUAAUUGGAUCUUGGACAAGAUGGUCUGGGAUUUGUCGCUGAUGACGUCGUUAUUCGAUCUGACGAGGUGGGUGAUGUCGGAGCAGGAGAAGCCCAGAUCCUGCAAAGCUCGGAACUUUGGGGCCAGGGUCUUCUCCACGUCGAGGAGAAGCCACCGGGGGUUUGCAGAUAUGACCUUUUUCACCUGGGUGUUGUCAAAACCGUAGCUUUUAAAAAAGCCAAGGACGGAGUCAGGCUGGUGGCGGGAUUCGACGCGACCAAGGAGCUUCGAGGCUUUGGCCGCCUGAUCAGGAUGGAAGCCACAGUAGCUGACCAGGUAUUCAGCCAUAAGGCUGCUCUCUGGAGCACCGGAGGCGGCGGAAUAAGAAUGGGUUGCGAGAAAAAGGGCAGCAUCGGCCGGACGACAGCAAGGGACGAAUGCAAGGGCUUUGGACAAGAGAGAGACGUAGGGCGACCUAUUCAUCAAUGUCAUCGUCUUCUUCUUCUUCUUCUUCUUCUUUGUAGGUUCCUUCUCUUUACCAAAACCUAGCGAAGGUGGCGUAGCUGCGUAUAGAGGAGCGCGUUUUGGCCGGAAGUACCUGCGUCUUAAACCCUAGAAGUGCGUUACCGUGUUCGACAUUUUUUUUUUCUGGCGGAGAUUACUGCGACCGCAGGAGUCUUUUUUUUCUUUGUCAACUUUUAGUUUGUUGAGGGGAGAAACAACUUUUAUUGCGUGCCAACUAAAGAUAAUAAAAGGUGUUCUUUUAGAAAAAAUUUGCACUAUUAUUUUUUUAUCUAGGGUUUAUUUUUUAUAGUUAGAACAAAAAUAUACCCUUAAUCUUCUAUUAAAAAUGACUUGAUCAGCUAUUAAAAAAUUGAUAUCAAAAAUUUUUAAAAAAAUAUAAAAAGCUAUGCUAAUCAUUUUAAAAUCAAUAGAUAUGCAUCGAAGAUGAUUAAUAUCUAUUUUUAUUUUAAAAAUUUUUAUAAUUAAUUAUCAAAUUAUAAUUUAUUUAAAUAAUAUCUAUGAUUAAGUCACAUAAGUUAAAAUAUAAGAGUGUUUUUUGUCUAAAUAAAAAUACCUAAAUAAAAAUGAAUAUGGAGGGUUUCAUCGAUAAGAAAACUAAUACUAUAAAUUAUUUUUUUAUAAAAGACCCGACAUACAUGAAUGAAUGCUAGAAAACAACUAAUCCAUCAUAAAAUUUGAUGAACUAAUACAUAUGUAUUCUAAUUAUCAAGUUAAAGUCAACAAUAAAAAAUUCAUGUAAUCUUUAAUGCCAUCAUAACCAUCAACUAUUUAUGAUGUGAAUGGCAAAACCGCUCAUUGUUCACUUAAGAAUCUACUCAUUAGAUUUUCACUAGAUAGAGAACAGACAACAACUCGUAAACAUGUCAACUAUCUUACUAGAAACAUACACUAUCUAUGAAACAAUGCCCAAGGCAACUUCUAUCUAGAAAUUAAUAAUAAUUAGAUGAUCAUGUUCACACUCAAAAUAGAAAGUCAUUCAUCCUAUAAUCAUUAACUUAUUAUAUCCAUACCAAGAUUAAGAAAGUAUCCCGAUGAUUAACAUUGAUUUAGAUUCGAUUAUAUUUGAUUUAACAUAUUGACAAAUAUUGUAAUUGGUAUAUAUAUCCUUCGACGGAAUCAAAUAAUUUGGGUAAUAUAUCUCACGGCUAAUUCUCACUCUUUAUUAUUUUUCAAUAUCGAAAAAUUAUUCUGUCAGUUUAAGGGAUAUAUACUUGAUCUAGCUAGCUCUUUAUACAAAGUAACUCAAAAUCUCUUUUCAAUUUAUCAUCUCAAAAUUAUUAGAAUACAUGACUCUUUAUAAUUGAAUAAGAUAUAUAAUAAAAUUAAUUAGAUUUUAAUGACGAAUAUUAGUCAAUAGAAAGAAAUAUCAAAAUAUGUGCCAAGUGAGAGAAUAUCUUAUAAAUUAAUGGGCUAAGUGAGAGAAUAUCAAAUAUGUGACCCUUUAUAAUUGAAUAAGAUAUAUAAUAAAACUAAUUAGAUUAUGAUAAUGGAUAUUAGCCAAUAGAAAGAAAGUUUAUAUUAUAGUAUGAUUCCUUAGGGGGUGCCCUUGAUGGGAGGAACUCUCUUAAUUAUUUAUCAUAGACUCUCUACUCUCGUCUAUAAAUAGAUGGGACCUCAUAGGGACUAAUGACAUGAUGUUUAUAUGAUGUAAUGGUCAUGAACACAUACACGAGAUACAAUAUGUGACAAUGAGAGAUUACGAUUCCUUUCUCAUCCUCUCUUGUCUCUGAACCAUUAAUAACUAUAAUCUUGUGAAAAGGUAGAAAGAGAUGAGGAGUGUUUAGUUCUCCUUGUAGAUCGACAUUUGAUAUAAACGAUUUUGCCCCACACAAACUCAUCUACCACUAAGGCCAACACCUAUGGAGAGUUUCAGGUCAUUAGCUUCGAAAUGGCACCAUAGUGUCGAUAACCAUCCUACUUUAUUAAGAUCAAAGAAUAAUCAGGUGAUUUUGCUAAUCUUAUCCAAGGCCAACCAAUAAAAGGCCUAGGGAUCAAGUAUAAAAAGGAACUCAUUAACUCACGCUGAGAGGGGGGACUCUCUAUACACUAACCUAGUCAUACAGCUUACACUACUAUCUUUCCCCUUUCACUGACUUAAGCAUCGGAAGGAAUGCGUUGGGCAACCCCUAAUGCUGGCCUAUCAUGCAAGAUUGCUGACGGUCAAGUGAUGAUCGGACCCAAUCCUUGUCAAUAGAACCUCGUAAUCUUUAAUGCCAUCAUAACCAUCAACUAUUUAUGAUGUGAAUGGCAAAACUGCUCAUUGUUCACUUAAGAAUCUACUCAAUAGAUUUUCACUAGAUAGAGAACAGACAACGACUCGUAAACAUGUCAACUAUCUUACUAGAAACAUACACUAUCUAUGAAACAAUGCCCAAGGCAACUUCUAUCUAGAAAUUAAUAAUAAUUAGAUGAUCAUGUUCACACUAAAAAUAGAAAGUCAUUCAUCCUAUUAUCAUUAACUUAUUAUAUCCAUACCAAGAUUAAGAAAGUAUCCUGAUGAUUAACUUUGAUUUAGAAUCGAUUAUAUUUGAUUUAACAUAUUGACAAACAUUGUAAUUGGUAUAUAUAUCCUUCGACGGAAUCAAAUAAUUUGGGUAAUAUAUCUCACGGCUAAUUCUCACUCUUUAUUAUUUUUCAAUAUCGAAAAAUUAUUCUGUCAGUUUAAGGGAUAUAUACUUGAUCUAGCUAGCUCUUUAUACAAAGUAACUCAAAAUCUCUUUUCAAUUUAUCAUCUCAAAAUUAUUAGAAUACAUGACUCUUUAUAAUUGAAUAAGAUAUAUAAUAAAAUUAAUUAGAUUUUGAUGAAAACUAUUAGUCAAUAGAAAGGAAUAUCAAAAUACGUGCUAAGUGGGAGAAUAUCUUAUAAAUUAAUGGGCCGCCUCCGGUGCUCCAGAGAGCAGCCUUAUGGUUAAUAAAAACACUAUACGUGCUAAGUGGGAAAUUCCUAUGAUGGCUAAUAAAAACACUAUAAUAAACUAAUUUUACUCUUAUUUGGAUGAUAUUAUUGUUAAAUUAUUUUAAAUAUAUGAUAUAUCAAAUGGUUUGUAGUAUGUUUGGAUUUCUCAGUUAUAGUAUUUUUUAAAUAACAUUAUAGUGUUUUUAUAAGGUGUAAAGCAAUUGAAAAAUCUUUGAUUAUCGUUGAUCGUAAAUGUGUAGUUAGUUUGACUGAAUCUAUUCGGGUUAUUUAUAAUAUUUUUAUUAUGAUAAUCAAAAUACUAUAAAAAUUAAUUUUUGAUUCUCAUUUUGAUGACCAAACUAUUGUGUAAAUCAUAUAAAUCAGAUCAUGCUACUGUACAAACCAAUCCAUCAACUUGGAUUCAAACACCGAUAUAUCGGUCUAUAAGGUAUCUAUGAAACUAGUGGGAAAAAUAUCAUUGAGGCUGGUAAGAAAUACUUUCAGUAUUAUUCAAAAUAGAAGGUAUCAUUUGAGAAAUAUGAGACAUCUUUUAGGAAAAUAAUAAUAAAAAAAGUGAGACAUCUUCGAAAUCACCCGAAAACUUUUGCUCACUUGUUUACUAGGGUCUUCUAGACUUUGCAGCAUCAAGAGAGUUCCUCUCCUCCGAACUCCUGUUUACCUAACAUCUCUACGAUGAUCAACAUGCGUUAGGGUGCAAGUCAACUAAAACUUCCCUUGAUCCCGAUAACUCAACAAGAGUAAGCAGUGCUUCAGUUUAAUUUGACCAAGUACGUGCCUGCCAGAGACACUGCAGUUAAUUCUACAAGGCCAAUAAUGUAUGAAUACAUAAGAAAAAGCUCAACGCAAAAGAUUGGAAGAUUAUUUUGAUGUAUUUGUACAGAGAAAACAAUACAACAAAGUCUUUAGAAAAGGAACACACCAAAAGAUUAAAAAUAGGACGAAUGGCUGAGACUAGCAUGCUAUACUAUAUAAGAAUCUGGAGAACCAAGGGUGGAAUCAAAUUCGAGAUUACAUGUUGCUAUUAGGCAAUAAAUUUAGAGAUGCUCUAUUGUCACAUUGAAGCACAAGUUUGUAACAUAAAAAACAACCUGCAUAAUUUGACAUAUUAACUAGACUUCCAGAUCAACUUUUUGUUUGAUAGCUAUUACAGCUUUGACAAAAAUAAGACACCGAACAAAGGAUGCAAAAGAAACAUAUAGUAGCAAAAGCCAAAAAAGUUGAAAUGUGGAUUUUCAUAGUACAUAAACCAGUAUAACUACAUAUCAUAAAUAUAACCAAAGAUUCUAACUGUUAGAAAUAUCUUGACUUCAGUCUGAGUGUGGGUAAAAAACAUUUCAAGAAGGCUGAAAUUGGUGUCAUCUGACAGCGGACAAAAUACAUUUUGGGAAGGGAGAAAUUGGCCUACAAGAAGUCAGCAAGUCUCAUUUCUCUUUCAUUACCUGAAGGCCGGCAAUGGUUGAAUUCUCCCUAGCAAAGUAACUCCUAGAAUUAUAUUUCCUUUUCCAAUUUGUUCAACAUAUACUUACUAAUGUAAUCAAACUAGCACACUGCAGAUGCCAACCUCUGGAAGGUAACACAUACUAAAAGAGCAAUUUCCAAGAACCUUGUUAAUCCACUUCUUUUGCACCAAACACUCCGCAAAUGGAGCUAACACCCCAAGUAUUUUUUAUUGAUAAGAACAAUUUAUGAUCGAUACAAGACAACCUCUGGACAGUAACACCUACUAAAAUAUCAAUUUCCAAGAUCACUGCUAAUCCACUUCUUUUGCACCAAACACCCUGUAAAUGGAGCUAACAAUCAAGCACUUUUGAUUGAUAAGAACAUUUUAUGCACCGAACACUCAAUAUGACCCAACCAAAAAAAUGAGAGGAUCGCACCCUCCGUAAACUUAUGAUCCAGACAUCUGUAACGCACAGAGCACAAUAAUAAUAUUCAUUGACAAUAAUGGAAAAUGCAUCCCAUCAAGUCUCAUCAUUAUUACUGGCGUACACAUCUAACUGUGCUUUUAUUAAAUAUCAGAUAACAAUCUUCACAUUGCUAGAACUGAAAAAUUCUCAAUCCUUAGCUACCCAGCUACGGAUCAUCUGAAAUAUGUACUUUUCAGAUCGAUAGGGAUUAUCUUAGUAGAAACAAGACGUCAAGAAAUCUAGUUGUGUCCCACGCAAUCAGCUAAAGAUAAGAAUAAUAAUGAAAAAAGAGCAUAAAUUAGGAUAAAAGAUCUCACAAAUUCAUCAUGAGAAAAGCACAUCCAUCAGUGCACUUUGCUGCAUCGGAACUCGUCCGAGGGAUGAAGCUACCUCCUUAUAGACUAAAUUCAUAUCACAUUACCUGCUAUUAGUCCAUUACUAGGAUCAAGUGGUGCCCGGCAACAGUCGAAAUACGCAUUUCUAUAGAUGCAAGGAAUAUCUUAUAAGCUUGUUUGACGACUACUAAUCCCUUUCAAAAUUGCCUACGAAUAAUGACAAUGUUGUUCAAUCAUCCAUAUAUGUAUAUAUCAACAUGCUGCACAACCAUGCAACAACAACCUUUCACAUACUCAAGCAUCCAACUUAUGCAUCAUGGCACUUCUAACAAAUAUUAAUAUGCGUCAAUUAUAGGCUAAAAUAGACGCAUCAAUAUAAAAUUUAUUGCCAAAAGAAAUAUGAACUAAUAACAGCAUAUUAAAAUUUCAUCACAUCAGCAUACAGAGAAUCUAGGUUUUAUGAGGCACCUAACACUAUAUUGCUCAUCCAAAUUGGAUACAGAGUUCAAAAAAGUUAUUAUCGAUUUACAAUUCAGUCCUUGAAAUUUACAAUCAUUUCUUCAUUACAUUGCAAACCAGUCCCUAGCAGUCUUAAUGGGCAGGCCCUUAGGCAGCCACGUGGAACUUGGUCUCAAAGGCAGGACCACAUGGAGUUGGCCUGUCUGAGCUGAAGUGCAUGAAGUUUAGACCACCCCCGUACUAAAAUGCUUAAAUUGGUAAAGGACAACUUGUACAUUCCAGUGCUUAAAUUGAGAACAAAACAUUGUCAAUACGGAAAGUGUGGUUUCCUUCAUAAAUCUAAGAGUUACAACUUCAUUCUCAAGAAGACAGUCAGCUUCAAACUAUCAUGGUGGCAACCUGGUAUUCAUUAAGGUUUUGCACUUAUAAAGAGAGAAAUUUCAACUGAAUUGACCGAUCAGCAAGAGGAAAGAAGUGGUUCAAACUAAUCACUUAAGAAAGAGAACAAAGUUUGAUAAACAAAAUAUACAAAAAAUUGAAACGCAACCUCAUCUACCUUUUUUGGGUUUUCGGUUUGGUUUAGGAUAUGAGGGACUUUAGUAAAUUUAUAUAAAAGGUGACCAACCCUUGCCCUAAAUCAAAAGCCUCAUCAUCCAGCUCAAAAUCACCAAAGCAUCCUACCAUACCAUCCAAAAGAAUCCUACUUCUUAUCAUUUGAAAAAAUAACCAAAACUCGAAACCUAACUUAGCAAAUAUCCAUAGUUAAAUCAAUCAAAACUUCACGUGUCCAAUAACCUACAUAAGUCUGAUAUCUUCCAGUAGACUUAAAACGAAUGGGACAAGAAUAACAAUUCCAUGUGGCGUCUACACAAGUGAUUAUCAACAAGCAAUUAACUCUAUCGGCAAUAUCAUCACAAAUCUUCUCAACAUUCUUCAUUUUCUUACUACGUGUAAGCAUCCAAACUCAUCUUACAUUCACAGAAAACGAAGUAAAUGGCAGGAAUUAUUUGGUCGCAAACUGUAGAUCAUGUUAUGCGGAUAGUGGAAAAUUGGAACCUGGAAACAUAACUUGCUGGUACAAAAGUUUGUGCUAUGCAUUAUGCAUUUCCACGAUCAAAUGCAGUUCUGUUUUUGGGGACUCCAUUAUACAACUCAAUGAGUUCUGGAUACUCCUUGUAGCGGUUGACGAACUUCUCCACAAAUUUCUUCUCUGGAUAUUUCGCGUAUGUAGACAUACUAAGGUUACUGAUGCAAACUCCCCUAGACUUCAGGCCUGUCACAAUCUGAUGCCUUGGCAUCAACCUUUUCUCCAAACUGCACAACAAAAUAUCUGGCCGAAGAGCAAGAUGAGAUGGAGCACAUCCGGCUUCAUUUACCAAGAACUCCAUCUUCCUCUGCAAACUCUUUAAAGAUAAUCCCACAAGCGUAGGAACCUUUCUGAAUGCAGCAAGGAAAUCAUCCUCGGACCACCCGAAGCCCUUGAAGAACUCCAAGUGAGCCUUGAAGUUCUUCUCGGUGAUUCUCUGGAGCACACACAGGGUAAGGGGGAAGAUCCCUGAGGUGCGAGGUACUCCCAAACCCUCGACACGACUGAUUAACGCCUUCAGGGUUUCAGCAUUCCGGGUUAUAAGGAGGGGGCGGUGCCGUAUGAUCAUUGAGAGCUUCUGAUCCGUGAUCCCGCAAUCCCUUAGAAUUUCAAUGUUAGGCUGGAUCGUCUUCUCGAUGCUAUACCCGAGAAACCUCCUGUUUUUCUUGCACAAGUUUACCAAAAAGUCGUUGGACUCGAGGAGGUCUUGCCAUAAUUGGAUCUUGGACAAGAUGUUCUCGGAUUUGUCGCUGGUGACGUCGUUAUUCGAUCUGACGAGGUGGGUGAUGUCGGAGCAGGAGAAGCCCAGAUCCUGCAAAGCUCGGAACUUUGGAGCCAGGGUCUUCUCCACGUCGAGGAGAAGCCACCGGGGGUUUGCAGAUAUGACCUUUUUCACCUGGGUGUUGUCAAAACCGUAGCUUUUAAAUAAGCCAAGGACGGAGUCAGGCUGGUGGCGGGAUUCGACGCCGCCAAGGAGCUUCGAGGCUUUGGCCGCCUGAUCUGGAUCGAAGCCACAGGAGCUGACCAGGUAUUCAGCCAUAAGGCUGCUCUGUGGAGCACCGGAGGUGGCGGAGUAAGAAUGGGUUGCGAGAAAAAGGGCAGCAUCGGCCGGACGACAGCAAGGGACGAAGGCAAGGGCUUUGGACAAGAGAGAGACGUAGGGCGACCUAUUCAUCAAUGUCAUCGUCUUCUUCUUCUUCUUCGUAGGUUCCUUCUCUUUACCAAAACCUAGCGAAGGUGGCGUAGUUGCGUAUAGAGGAGCGCGAUUAGGCCGGAAGUACCUGCGUCUUAAACCCUAGAAGUGCGUUACCGUGUUCGACAUUUUUCUGGUUGGCUAGUUAUUCCCUAGUCAUUUUACUGGUUAGCCUUGGAUAAGAUUAGUUAAAUCACUUGAUCAUUUUUUGAUCUUAAUAAGGUAGGGUGGUUAUCAGAAUACACUAUGGUGCCAUUUCGGAGCUGGUGAUCUGGAACUCUCCAUAGGUGUCGGCCUUGUGACAGAUGAGUUGGCGUAGGGCAAAAUCGUCUCUAUCAAAUGUCGAUAUACAAGGAGAACCAAACAUUCAUCUCUUUCUACCUUUUCACAAGACUAUAGUUAUUAAUGUUUCAGAGACAAGAGAGGAUGAAAAAAGAAUCGUAAUCUCUCAAUGUCACAUAUAGUAUCUCGUGUAUGUGUCCACGUGUAUGUGUCCAUGACCGUCACAUCAUAUAAACAUCAUGUCAUUAGCCCCUAGGAGGUCCGAUAUAUUUAUAGGUGAGAGUUGAGGAUCAAUGAUAAGUAAUUAGGAGAGUUUCUCCUAUCAAGAGCGUCCCUUAAGAAAUCAUACUAUAAUCUGAAUAUCCUUUAUACUGGCUAAUAUCCGUUAUCAGAAUUCAAUCAAUUUUAUUAUAUAUCUUAUUCAAUUAUAAAGGGUCACAUAUUUUGAUAUUCUCCUACUUAGCUCAUAUAUUCUCUAUCUUUGCCCAUAGUUUGAUAUUCCUUUUUAUAGAUUAAUAUUCGUAAUCAAAAUCUAAUUAAUUUUAUUAUAUAUCUUAUUCAAUUAUAAAGAGUCCUGUAUUCUAACAAUUUUGAUAUGACAAAUUGAAAAGAUGUUUUGAGUUACUUUGCAUAAAGAGCUAGCUAGAUCAAGUAUAAAUCCCUUAAUAUGAGAGAAUAAUUCUCCAAUACUGAAAAAUAAUAAAGAGUGAGAAGAAACCUUUAUAAAGGUGAGAUAUAUUACUCAAACUAUUUAAUUCCGUAAAAGGAUAUUUAUACUAAUUAUAAUGCUUGUCAAUAUGUUAAUCAAAUAUAAUCAAUUCUAAAUCAGGAUGCACCUUCUUAAUCUUAGUAUGGAUAUAAUAAGUUAAUAAUUGUGAGAUGAAUGACUUUCUAUUUUUAUGGUGAACAUGAUCAUCUAAUUACUAUUAAUUUCUAGAUAGAAGUUGCUUGAGGCUUUGUUUCAUAGAUAGCAUAUGUUUGUAGCAAUUCUAAGUAGCAAGAUAGUUGACGUGUUUGCGAGUCUCUAUCAGUUCCCUAUUUGAUAAAAAUCUAUUGAGUAGAUUCUCAAGUGAACAAUGAGCAAUUUUGCCAUUCAUAUCAUAAAUAGUUGAUGCUUAUGAUGAUAUUUAAGAUUACAUGAACAUUUUAUUGUUGACUUAAACUUGAUAAUUAGAGUAGCAUAGGUAUUAAUCCAUCAAAUUUUAUGAUGAAUAAGUUGAUUUCUAGCAGUAAUUCAUGCAUGUUGGGUCUUUUAUAAAAGAAAAAAUUCUAGUAUUAUUUUUUUUUAUUGAUGAAACCUUCCAUAUUCAUUUUUACUUAGGUUUUUUUUAUUUAGACAAAAAACACUCUUAUAUUUUUUGCUUAUGUGACUUAAUCAUAGAUAUUAUUUAAAUAAAUUAUAAUUUGAUAAUUAAUUAUAAAAAAAACUAAAAUAAAAAAUAGAUAUUAAUCAUCUUCGAUGCAUAUCUAUUGAUUUUAAAAUGAUUAGCAUAGUUCUUUUUUUUUUUUUUUUUAAUUAUGAUAAUUAAUUAUCAAUUUUUUAAUAGCUGAUCAAGUCAUUUUUAAUAGAAGAUUAAGGGUAUAUUUUUGUUCAUACUAUAAAAAAUAAACCCUAGAUAAAAAUAAAUAUAGGGAUGCUAUCCGAUAAAAAAAUAAUAGUGCAAUUUUUUUCUAAGAGAACACCUUUUAUUAUCUUUAGUUGGCACGCAAUAAAAGUUUUUUCUCCCCUCAACAAACUAAAAGUUGACGAAGCAAAAAAAAAGACGCCUGCGGUCGCAGUAAUCUCCGCCCGAAAAAAAAUUCUCGAACACGGUAACGCACUUAUAGGGUUUAAGACGCAGGUACUUCCGGCCUAAACGCGCUCUUCUAUACGCAGCUACGCCACCUUCGCUAGGUUUUGGGAAAGCGAAGGAACCUACAAAGAAGAAGAAGAAGACGAUGACAUUGAUGAAUAGGUCGCCCUACGUCUCUCUCUUGUCCAAAGCCCAUGCCUUCGUCCCUUGCUGUCGUCCGGCCGAUGCUGCCCAUUUUCUCGCAACCCAUUCUUACUCCGCCGCCUCCGGUGCUCCACAGAGCAGCCUUAUGGCUGAAUACCUGGUCAGCUCCUGUGGCUUCGAUCCUGAUCAGGCGGCCAAAGCCUCGAAGCUCCUUGGCCACGUCGAAUCCCGCCACCAGCCUGACUCCGUCCUUGGCUUAUUUAAAAGCUACGGUUUUGACAACACCCAGGUGAAAAAGGUCAUAUCUACAAACCCCCGGUGGCUUCUCCUCGACGUGGAGAAGACCCUGGCCCCAAAGUUCCGAGCUUUGCAGGAUCUGGGCUUCUCCUGCUCCGACAUCACCCACCUCGUCAGAUCGAAUAACCACGUCAUCAGCCACAAAUCCCAGAACAUCUUGUCCAAGAUCCAAUUAUGGCAAGGCCUCCUGGGGUCCAACGACUUACUGAUGAAGAUAUGGAAGAGAAACAGGUGGUUUCUCGGGUAUAGCUUCGAGAAGACGAUCCAGCCUAGCAUUGAAAUUCUAAGGGAUUGCGGGAUCACGGAUCAGAAGCUCUCAAUGAUCAUACCGCAAUAUCCCCUCCUUAUAACCCGGAAUGCUGAAACCCUGAAGGCGUUAAUCAGUCGUGUCGAGGGUUUGGGAGUACCUCGCACCUCGAGGAUGUUCCUCCUGAUCCUGAGUGUGCUCCUGAGCGUCUCCGAGAAGAACUUCAAGGCUCACUUGGAGUUCUUCAAGGGCUUCGGGUGGUCCGAGGAUGAUUUCCUUGCUGCAUUCAGAAAGGCUCCUACGUUUGUGCAAUUAUCUUUAAAGAGUUUGCAGAGGAAGAUGGAGUUCUUGGUAAAUGAAGCAGGAUGUGCUCCAUCUCAUCUUGCACUUCGGCCAGAUAUUUUGUUGUGCAGUUUGGAGAAAAGGUUGAUGCCAAGGCAUCAGAUUGUGACAGGCCUGAAGUCUAGGGGAGUUUGCAUCAGUAACCUUAAUAUGUCUACAUACAUGAAAUAUCCAAAGAAGAAAUUUGNNNNNNNNNNNNNNNNNNNNNNNNNNNNNNNNNNNNNNNNNNNNNNNNNNNNNNNNNNNNNNNNNNNNNNNNNNNNNNNNNNNNNNNNNNNNNNNNNNNNNNNNNNNNNNNNNNNNNNNNNNNNNNNNNNNNNNNNNNNNNNNNNNNNNNNNNNNNNNNNNNNNNNNNNNNNNNNUGGAGUUCUUGGUAAAUGAAGCAGGAUGUGCUCCAUCUCAUCUUGCACUUCGGCCAGAUAUUUUGUUGUGCAGUUUGGAGAAAAGGUUGAUGCCAAGGCAUCAGAUUGUGACAGGCCUGAAGUCUAGGGGAGUUUGCAUCAGUAACCUUAAUAUGUCUACAUACAUGAAAUAUCCAAAGAAGAAAUUUGUGGAGAAGUUCGUCAACUGCUACAAGGAGUAUCCAGAACUCGUUGAGUUGUAUAAUGGAGUCCCCAAAAACAGAACUGCAUUUGAUCGUGGAAAUGCAUAAUGCAUAGCACAAGCUUUUGUACCAGCAAGUUAUGUUUCCAGGUUCCAAUUUUCCACUAUCCGCAUAACAUGAACUACAGUUUGCAACCAAAUAAUUCCUGCCAUUUACUUCGUUUUCUGUGAAUGUAAGAUGAGUUUGGAUGCUUACAUGUAGUAAGAAAAUGAAGAAUGUUGAGAAGAUUUGUGAUGAUAUUGCUGAUAGAGUUAAUUGCUUGUUGAUAAUCACUUGUGUAGACGCCACAUGGAAUUGUUAUUCUUGUCCCAUUCGUUUUAAGUCUACUGGAAGAUAUCAGACUUAUGUAGGUUAUUGGACACGUGAAGUUUUGAAUUGAUUUAACUAUGGAUAUUUGGUAAUUUAGGUUUCGAGUUUUGGUUAUUUUUUCAAAUGAUAAGAAGUAGGAUUCUUUUGGAUGGUAUGGUAGGAUGCUUUGGUGAUUUUGAGCUGGAUGAUGAGGCUUUUGAUUUAGGGCAAGGGUUGGUCACCUUUUAUAUAAAUUUACUAAAGUCCCUCCUAUCCAAAACCAAACCCAAAACCCAAAAAAGGGAGAUGAGGUUGCGUUUCAAUUUUUUGUAUAUUUUGUUUAUCAAACUUUGUUCUCUUUCUUAAGUGAUUAGUGUGAACCACUUCUUUCCUCUUGCUGAUCGGUCAAUUCAGUUGAAAUUUCUCUCUUUAUAAAUGCAAAACCUUAAUGAAUACCAGGUUGCCACCAUGAUAGUUUGAAGCUGACUGUCUUCUUGAGAAUGAAGUUGUAACUCUUAAAUUUAUGAAGGAAACCACACUUUCCGUAUUGACAAUGUUUUGUUCACAAUUUAAGCACUGGAAUAUACAAGUUGUCCUUUACCAAUUUAAGCAUUUGAGUACGGGGGUGGUCUAAACUUCAUGCACUUCAGCUCAGACUGGCCAACUCCAUGUGGUCCUGCCUCUGAGACCAAGUUCCACGUGGCUGCCUAAGGUCCUGCCCAUUAAGACUGCUAGGGACUGGUUUGCAAUGUAAUGAAGAAAUGAUUGUAAAUUUCAAGGACUGAAUUGUAAAUCGAUAAUAACUUUUUUGAACUCUGUAUCCAAUUUGGAUGAGCAAUAUAGUGUUAGGUGCCUCAUAAAACCUAGACUCUCUUUAUGCUGACAUGAUGAAAUUUUAAUAUGCUGUUAUUAGUUCAUAUUUCUUUUGGCAAUCAAUUUUAUAUUGAUGCGUCUAUUAUAGCCUAUAAUUGACGCAUAUUAAUAUUUGUUAGAAGUUCCAUGAUGCAUAAGCUGGACGCUUGAGCAUGUGAAAGGAUGUUGUUGCAUGGUUGUGCAGCAUGUUGAUAUACACAUAUAUGGAUGAUUGAACAACAUUGUCAUUAUUUGUAGGCAAUUUUGAAAGGGAUUAUCAGUUGUCAAAAAAGCUUAUAAGAUAUUCCUUGCAACUAUAGAAAGACAUAUUUCUACUGUUUCCCGGCACCACUUGAUCCUAGUAAUGGACUAAUAGCAGGGAAUGUGAUAUGAAUUUAGUCUAUAAGGAGGUUGCUUCAUCCUGAGCAGUCGGACGAGUUCCGAUGCAGCAAAGUGCAUUGAUGGAUGUGCUUUUCUCAUGAUGAAUUUGUGAGAUCUUUUAUUCUAAUUUAUUCUAUUUUUCAUUAUUAUUCUUAUCUUUAGUUGAUUGCAUGAGACACAACUAUAUUUCUUGACGUCUUGUUUCUACUAAGAUAAUCCCUAUCGAUCUGAAAAUUACAUAUUUCAGAUGAUCCAUAGCUGGGGAGCUAAGGAUUGAGAAGUGUUCGGUUCUAGCAAUGUGAAGAUUGUUAUCUGAUAUUUAAUAAAAGUACAGUUAGAUGUGUACGCCAGUAAUAAUGAUGAGACUUGAUGGGAUCCAUUUUCCAUUAUUGUCAAUGAAUAUUAUUAUUGUGCUCUGUGCAUUACAGAUGUCUGGAUCAUGAGUUUACGGAGGGUGUGAUCCUCUCAUUUUUUGGGUUGGGUCAUAUUGAGUGUUCGGUGCAUAAAAUGUUCUUAUCAAUCAAAAGUACUUGAUUGUUAGCUCCAUUUACAGGGUGUUUGGUGCAAAAGAAGUGGAUUAGCAGUGAUCUCGGAAAUUGCUAUUUUAGUAGGUGUUACUGUCCAGAGGUUGUGUUGUAUCGAUCAUAAAUUGUUCUUAUCAAUAAAAAAUACUUGGGGUGUUAGCUCCAUUUGCGGAGUGUUUGGUGCAAAAGAAGUGGAUUAACAAGGUUCUUGAAAAUUGAUCUUUUAGUAUGUGUUACCUUCCAGAGGUUGGCAUCUGCAGUGUGCUAGUUUGAUUACAUUAGUAAGGAUAUGUUGAACAAAUUGGAAAAGGAAAUAUAAUUCUAGGAGUUACUUUGCUAGGGAGAAUUCAACCAUUGCCUGCCUUCAGGUAAUGAAAGAGAAAUGAGACUUGCUGACUUCUUGUAGGCCAAUUUCUCCCUUCCCAAAAUGUAUUCUGUCCGCUGUCAGAUGACACCAAUUUCAGCCUUCCUGAAAUGUGUUUUACCCACAGUCAGACUGAAGUCAAGAUAUUUCUAACAGUUAGAAUCUUUGGUUAUAUUUAUGAUAUGUAGUUAUACUGGUUUAUGUACUAUGAAAAUCCACAUUUCAACUUUUUUGGCUUUUGCUACUAUAUGUUUCUUUUGCAUCCUUUGUUUGGUGUCUUAUUUUUGUCAAAGCUGUAAUAGCUAUCAAACAAAAAGUUGAUCUGGAAGUCUAGUUAAUAUGUCAAAUUAUGCAGGUUGUUUUUAUGUUACAAACUUGUGCUUCAAUGUGACAAUAGAGCAUCUCUAAAUUUAUUGCCUAAUGGCAACAUGUAAUCUCAAAUUUGAUUCCAGCCCUUGGUUCUCCAGAUUCAUAUAUGCUAUUCUGUUGUAGUAUAGCAUGAUAGUCUCAGCCAUUCGUCCGAUUUUUAAUAUUUUGGUGUGUUCCUUUUCUUAAGACUGUUGUUUUGUUGUCUCUGGACAAAUACGUCAAUAUAACUUCCCUGAGGUAUUGUAGCAUGCUAAUCUCCAGUAAAUGUUGUAUGUGUCCUAGUUCCAAUCUUUUGCAUUGUGCUUUUUCUUAGGUAUUCAUACAUUAUUGGCCUUUUAGAAUUAACAGCAGUGUAUCUGGCAGGUAGGUACUUGGUUAAAUUAAACUGAAGCACUGCUUACUCUUGUUGAGUUAUCAGGAUCAAGAGAAGUUUUAGAUGACUUGCACCCUAUGGCAUGUUGAUCAUCGUAGAGAUGUUUUCCUGACAAAGGCUUGACUCGUUAUCAGCGAAGAAUUAUACAUGUACUGUACUGCCUCAGAACUAGCUGCUGGAUAGGGUCAGUGAGAGAAUAUCAAAUAUGUGACCCUUUAUAAUUAAAUAAAAUAUAUAAUAAAAUUGAUUAGAUUCUGAUAACGGAUAUUAGUUAAUAAAAAAAAAGUUUAUAUUAUAAUAGGAUUUCUUAGGGUGUAUCCUUGAUGGGAGGAACUCUCCUAAUUAUUUAUCAUAGACUUUCUACUCUCGUCUAUAAAUGGAUAGGACCUCAUAGAGACUAAUGACAUGAUAUUUAUGUGAUGUAACGGUCAUGAACACAUACACGAGAUACGAUAGGUGACAUUAAGAGGUUACGAUUCCGAGAUACGAUAGGUGACAUUAAGAGGUUACGAUUCCUUUCUAAUUCUCUCUUGUCUCUGAACCAUUAAUAACUAUAGUCUUGUGAAAAGGUAGAAAGAGAUGAAGAGUGUUUAGUUCUCCUUGUAGAUCAGUUUUGCUGACAAACAAAUUCCUUGAUUUGUGCGCUGUAGUAGUAGGGUCAUUUAGACUUUGCAGCAUCAGAGAGUUCUCUUCCCAACUCCUGUUUACUUAACAAUGAGCAUGAAUAUACGCCUAUGACAAAAAAUUCCAUUUGGUGCCUUCAAAAUAUUGCUGCAGAAACUAAAUCCGGUGAAGAAAUGAAUGCCAUUUGCCCUUCACUUGCAUCUCAUAGGAGCAAAAGAAGGGGAAAAUAAUCUGGGCAUAAAAUCUAGUUAGCUAGAAUUUGGAUGCUUUCAUCUCAAGAAAUCUCUCUUUUUAUCUUUUCUUAAAGAUCAGUAGAUUCAAUGUACAGGGCAUUGCAGUUUUCUUCCUGUUUCUUCCUUUCUUUCUUUUCUUUUGGAAAAACAAAAGGAUGAUGAGAAUAUGCACAUUUUGGUUAUAUAAUAUCAACAAUGAUGAGAAUAAGAACAAUGAUAUGAAAGCAGACAGGACCAAUAAAUAAGUUUUCAGAAAUAACAACUGAUAAGUCGUCAAAUGAACACCUGUGCUGUGUACAUCAGUCUUCAGAGUUUAAAUUCCACAUCAUACUUCACUUGAUCAACAUCAAUAUGGUGGAAACAAAUUUAAAAGAAAGUUCAGUUUGAUAUGAUGUAAAACAAGAUAUCUCAUUAUUGGUUUGAUCUAAUUACAAAAAGUUAUGCUCAUAUCUAUAUCAUUUCUUAGUCUAGAGUAUAUUUGAACACACAACAAUAACAAUAAUUGCAAGCCAUAAUGAGCAGAUUCAACAUCUCACCUAUCAGAAAUCUUAAAUCGGGAAGCAGGGAUGAUACCGCAUUACCAACAAAACCUGAUAAUAACGAGAAAAAUAAAUUGAUCUUGUUUAGCGAACAAUUUUAGAGGGCAUAAAAACCUAGAACAUAUAUAGUUCUACAAGUUGAAAGGAUCUCAGUCCUUUUAGAGACAAAAUCCCCCACAAAAAGUAUCAACCCUUGCAAAGAGCAUCAGUCUUUUCCUACUGAAAGAACCUGACCCUAUCCAGCAGCUAGUUCUGAGGCAGUACAGUACAUGUAUAAUUCUUCACUGAUAACGGGUCAAGCCUUUGUCAGGAAAACAUCUCUACGAUGAUCAACAUGCGAUAGGGUGCAAGUCAUCUAAAACAUCUCUCGAUCCUGAUAACUCAACAAGAGUAAGCAGUGCUUCAGUUUAAUUUAACCAAGUACCUACCUGCCAGAUACACUGCUGUUAAUUCUCAAAGGCCAAUAAUGUAUGAAUACCUAAGAAAAAGCACAAUGCAAAAGAUUGGAACUAGGACACAUACAACAUUUACUGGAGAUUAGCAUUCUACAAUACCUCAGGGAAGAUUAUUUUAACGUAUUUGUCCAGAGACAACAAUACAAUAAAGUCUUAAGAAAAGGAACACACCAAAAGAUUAAAAAUUGGACGAAUGGCUGAGACUAGCAUGCUAUACUACAACAGAAUAGCAUAUAUAAGAAUCUGGAGAACCAAGGGCUGGAAUCAAAUUCGAGAUUACAUGUUGCCAUUAGGCAAUAAAUUUAGAGAUGCUCUAUUGUCACAUUGAAGCACAAGUCUCAUUUCUCUUUCAUUACCUGAAGGCAGGCAAUGGUUGAAUUCACCCUAGCAAAGUAACUCCUAGAAUUAUAUUUCCUUUUCCAAUUUGUUCAACAUAUCCUUACUAAUGUAAUCAAACUAGCACACUGCAGAUGGCAACCUCUGGAUGUUAACACAUACUAAAAGAGCAAUUUCCAAGAACCUUGUUAAUCCACUUCUUUUGCACCAAACACUCCGCAAAAGGAGCUAACACCCCAAGUAUUUUUUAUUGAUAAGAACAAUUUAUGAUCGAUACAACACAACCUCUGGACAGUAACACCUACUAAAAUAGCAAUUUCCGAGAUCACUGCGAAUCCACUUCUUUUGCACCAAACACCCUGCAAAUGGAGCUAGCAAUCAAGUACUUUUGAUUGAUAAGAACAUUUUAUGCACCGAACACUCAAUACGACCCAAUCCAUAAAAUGAGAGGAUCACACCCUCCAUAAACUUAUAAGCCAGACAUCUGUAACGCACAGAGCACAAUAAUAAUAUUCAUUGACAAUAACUGAAAAUACAUCCCAUCAAGUGUCAUCAUUAUUACUGGAGUAAACAUCUAACUAUACUUUUAUUAAAUAUCAUAUAACAAUCUUCACCUUGCUAGAACCGAACACUUCUCAAUCCUUAGUUCCCCAGCUACGGAUCAUCUGAAAUAUGUAAUUUUCAGAUCGAUAGGGAUUAUCUUAGUAGAAACAAGAUAUCAAGAAAUCUAGUUGUGUCUCAUGCAAUCAGCAAAAGAUAAGAAUAAUAAUAAAAAAAGAGCAUAACUUAGAAUAAAAGAUCUCACAAAUUCAUCAUGAGAAAAGCACAUCCAUUAGUGCACUUUGUUGCAUUGGAACUCGUCCGACUGCUCAGGAUGAAGCAACCUCCUUAUAGACUAAAUUCAUAUCACAUUCCCUGCUAUUAGUCCAUUACUAGGAUCAAGUGGUGCCCGGCAACAGUAGAAAUACGUCUUUCUAUAGAUGCAAGGAAUAUCUUAUAAGCUUGUUUGACGAAUACUAAUCCCUUUCAAAAUUGCCUACUAAUAAUGACAAUGUUGUUCAAUCAUCCAUAUAUGUAUAUAUCAACAUGCUGCACAACCAUGCAACAACAUCCUUUCACAUGCUCAAGCAUCCAACUUAUGCAUCAUGGCACUUCUAACAAAUAUUAAUAUGCGUCAAUUAUAGGCUACAAUAGACGCAUCAAUAUAAAAUUGAUUGCCAAAAGAAAUAUGAACUAAUAACAGCAUAUUAAAAUUUCAUCAUGUCAGCAUAAAGAGAAUCUAGGUUUUAUGAGGCACCUAACACUAUAUUGAUCAUCCAAAUUGGAUACAGAGUCCAAAAAAGUUAUUAUCGAUUUACAAUUCAGUCCUUGAAAUUUACAAUCAUUUCUUCAUUACAUUGCAAACCAGUCCCUAGCAGUCUUAAUGGGCAGGACCUUAUGCAGCCACGUGGAACUUGGUCGCUCAGGCCGGACCACAUGGAGUUGGCCAGUCUGAGCUGAAGUGCAUGAAGUUUAGACCACCCCCGUAUUCAAAUGCUUAAAUUGGUAAAGGACAACUUGUAUAUUCCAGUGCUUAAAUUGAGAACAAAACAUUGUCAAUACGGAAAGUGUGGUUUCCUUCAUAAAUUUAAGAGUUACAACUUCAUUCUCAAGAAGACAGUCAGCUUCAAACUAUCAUGGUGGCAACCAGGUAUUCAUUAAGGUUUUGCAUUUAUAAAGAGAGAAAUUUCAACUGAAUUGACCGAUCAGCAAGAGGAAAGAAGUGGUUCAAACUAAUCACUUAAGAAAGAGAACAAAAUUUGAUAAACAAAAUAUACAAAAAAUUGAAACCCAACCUCAUUUCCCUUUUUUGGGUUUUGGGUUUGGAUUUGGAUAGGAGAGGCUUUAAUAAAUUUAUAUAAAAGAUGACCAACCCUUGCCCUAAAUCAAAAGCCUCAUCAUCCAGCUCAAAAUCACCAAAGCAUCCUACCGUACCAUCCAAAAGAAUCCUACUUCUUAUCAUUUGAAAAAUUAACCAAAACUCGAAACCAAAAUUACCAAAUAUCCAUAGUCAAAUCAAUUCAAAACUUCAGGUGUCCAAUAACCUACAUAAGUCUGAUAUCUUCUAGUAGACUUAAAACGAAUGGGACAAGAAUAACAAUUCCAUGCGGCAUCUACACAAGAGAUUAUCAACAAGCAAUUAACUCUAUCGGCAAUAUCAUCGCAAAUCUUCUCAAUAUUCUUCAUUUUCUUACUACAUGUAAGCAUCCAAACUCAUCUUACAUUCACAGAAAACGAAGUAAAUGGCAGGAAUUAUUUGGUUGCAAACUGUAGAUCAUGUUAUGCAGAUAGUGGAAAAUUGGAACCUGGAAACAUAACUUGCUGGUACAAAAGCUUGUGCUAUGCAUUAUGCAUUUCCACGAUCAAAGUGCAGUUCUGUGUUUGGGGGCUACAUUAUACAACUCAAUGAGUUCUGGAUACUCCUUGUAGCAGUUGACGAACUUCUCCACAAAUUUCUUCUCUGGAUAUUUCAUGUAUGUAGACAUACUAAGGUUACUGAUGCAAACUCCCCUAGACUUCAGGCCUGUCAAAAUCCGAUGCCUUGGCAUCAACCUUUUCUCCAAACUCAUCAACAAAAUAACUGGCCGAAGUGCAAGAUAAGAUGGAGCACAUCUGGCUUCAUUUACCAAGAACUCCAUCUUCCUCUGCAAACUCUUUAAAGAAAAUCGCACAAACGUAGGAGCCUUUCUGAAUGCAGCAAGGAAAUCAUCCUCGGACCACCCGAAGCCCUUGAAGAACUCCAAGUGAGCCUUGAAGUUCUUCUCGGAGACGCUCUGGAGCACACUCAGGAUCAGGAGGAACAUCCCCGAGGUGCGAGGUACUCCCAAACCCUCGACACGACUGAUUAACGCCUUCAGGGUUUCAGCAUUCCGGGUUAUGAGGAGGGGAUAUUGCCGUAGGAUCAUUGAGAGCUUCUGAUCCGUGAUCCCGCAAUCCCUUAGAAUUUCAAUGUUAGGCUGGAUUCUCUUCUCGAUGCUAUACCCGAGAAACCUCCUGUUCUUCUUGCACAAGUUCACCAAAAAGUCGUUGGACCCGAGGAGGCCUUGCCAUAAUUGGAUCUUGGACAAGAUGGUCUGGGAUUUGUGGCUGAUGAAGUGGUUAUUCGAUCUGACGAGGUGGGUGAUGUCGGAGCAGGAGAAGCCCAGAUCCUGCAGAGCUCGGAACUUUGGGGCCAGGGUCUUCUCCACGUCGAGAAGAAGCAACCGGGGGUUUGCAGAUAUGACCUUUUUCAAGUGGGUGUUGUCAAAACCGUAGCUUUGAAAUAAGCCAAG
rnacentral:lncRNA from 1 species